rnacentral:rRNA from 1 species
GAAGUGUUUUCGCGACGGAGAAGUGGUGCCAAAGUUGCUUGGAACAGCACACCGUAGAGGGUGACAGUCCCGUACAAGGUGUCGCUUCACCGUUCACGAUACACUCUCCACGAGUCGGGUUGCUUGGGAAUGCAGCCCAAAAUGGGAGGUAAACUCCUUCUAAAGCUAAAUAGGACACGAGACCGAUAGCGAACAAGUACCGUGAGGGAAAGAUGAAAAGAACUUUGAAAAGAAAGUUAAAAGUACGUGAAACCGCCAAUGGGAAGCGCAUGGAAUUAGCAAUGCUCGGUAGAGAUUCAGGCACUCGGCUCUCGAGCCUGUGCGGGGUGCAGAUCCGAAUGGACUGUCUCUGUGCUGUGCUCGAGGCCUGGUGUUGCACUUCUCUUCCGCGGCGCGUCAACAAAUGUUGGUAUCGAGCGAGAACGCAGUGCAGGAGGUGGCCGACUUCGGUCGGUGUUAUAACUGUGCUGUUGGAGCUCGAGACCGACAUGGGAGUCUUGCGGUGCGUGCCUUCGGGCUGGUUGCUCCUGCCCCGCUGUACUGUGACCAUGACGGACUACACGUAGUGCGUUUGAACUUCAGCGGUGACAGGUGGGAAUGCUUCACAAACUGCGCCAAGGUUGUUGGCGGUCAAAUGAUUUCAUUCGACCCGUCUUGAAACACGGACCAAGGAGUCUAACAUGUAUGCGAGUCUUAGAGUGACAGAAACUCGAUGGCGCAAUGAAAGUAAACGGCCUAGCCGCUGGUGAGAUCCGUUCCCUGCACAGGGGAGCGGCGCAUCAUCGACCGACCUAAUCUACUCUUAGACAGGUUUGAGUAAGAGCAUGCGUGCUGGGACCCGAAAGAUGGUGAACUAUGCUUGAGUAGGGUGAAGCCAGAGGAAACUCUGGUGGAGGCUCGUAGCGAUUCUGACGUGCAAAUCGAUCGUCAAACUUGUGCAUAGGGGCGAAAGACUAAUCGAACCAUCUAGUAGCUGGUUCCCUCCGAAGUUUCCCUUAGGAUAGCUGGAACUCGGAGAAACAGUUUCAUCCGGUAAAGCGAAUGAUUAGAGGUCUUAGGGACGAAACGUUCUUAACCUAUUCUCAAACUUUCAAUGGGUGAGAAGUCUGACCUGCUUAAUAGAGGCCAGACAAUGAAUGAAUGAGUUCCAAGUGGGCCAUUUUUGGUAAGCAGAACUGGCGAUGCGGGAUGAACCGAACGUAGAGUUAAGGCGCCUAAAUCGACGCUCAUCAGACCCCACAAAAGGUGUUGGUUGAUCCAGACAGCAGGACGGUGGCCAUGGAAGUCGGAAUCCGCUAAGGAGUGUGUAACAACCCACCUGCCGAAUCAACUAGCCCUGAAAAUGGAUGGCGCUCAAGCGUCGUGCCUAUACUCUACCGCUGAGGUUAACUAACGAAACAGACCACAGUGAGUAGGAGGGCGUGGUGGUUGCCACGAAGCAUUUGGCGCGAGCCUGUGUGGAGCGGCCACUAGUGCAGAUCUUGGUGGUAGUAGCAAAUAUUCAAAUGAGAACUUUGAAGGCCGAAGUGGAGAAAGGUUCCAUGUGAACAGCAGUUGGACAUGGGUUAGUCGAUCCUAAGAGAUAGGCAAACGCUGUGUCAAAGUGUGCAAUUUCUUUUGAGUUGCACCGUACAUCGAAAGGGAAUCAGGUUAAUAUUCCUGAACCGGAACGCGGAUUUCUGCGCCUUGUGUGUAGAACUACGGCAACGUAAACGAACCCAGAGACGUCGGUGGUAGCCCCGGGAAGAGUUCUCUUUUCUUGUUAACAGCCCAAAACCAUGGAAGUUGAUUGCCAAGAGAGAUGGUCCACGGGCUGGUAAAGCUCUACACCUCUUGUAGAGUCCGGUGCGCUGCCAAAGGCCCUUGAAAAUCUGGGGGAGAGAAUGAUUUUCGCGUCCGCUCGUACUCAUAACCGCAGCAGGUCUCCAAGGUGAGCAGCCUCUGGCCGAUAGAACAAUGUAGGUAAGGGAAGUCGGCAAAAUAGAUCCGUAACUUCGGGAAAAG